CCAUCCUAAUUAGUGAUUCAUAGGUCUAAUAGAUUUGUUCAUGCUCGAUUUGUUAAAUUCCUCUAUAUAACCAUCAAUUAAAUCUGACCCAAUUAUUUUGAACCAAAUUUAAGCUUUUUUGUAGUUAUGUCAAAUGACCUUAUAGAUCGGGCUCAAAUUUGAAUCACAACCUCCUCUUGGUCUAGGAGAAAUAUUUUGUGCACCGCGGACGGUGCAGCUUCGUGCACACCACUCAUGGUGAUUGGCUCCCAUGCGAGAUCGGUGAAAAAAAUAUUUUUUUUCCCACGCUGUGUCUGGCCCCGUGCGUGAGCCAAUCAUCGCGGGUGGUGCAUACGAGUUACACUGCUCAUGGUGCACAAAGUAUUCUCCUUAGUCUAGAUGUCCCA
rnacentral:lncRNA from 1 species